CAUCACCCUGGCAAAGAAGGGAAGUAAGAAACCAUCCUGGUGGCCUUUUGACGUGUCUCCUAGCGCUGUUGCCUUUGCUGUGGCAUGGCCAUUUGUGGUGCAGUGGCUUAUCCGUCUAUAUCUUCAACGUAAGAAAAGACGAAUCAACUGAAAAGUCUCCCGUCCCAAAGACACAGAGCGACGAUGAGAGCCCUCUCAACAGUCUCUGGUUGGGUAACGGCCGUAGUCUCCCUUCCGCUUUCCCACCCACACCUCUAUAACUCUGGCUUUUGCACUAUGAAGAUGGCACUAGGAGUAGUGAGUUGGGGGAAGCCUCACAACCCACUGAGUAGUGAGUUGGGGGAAGCCUCACAACCCACUGACAUUACAAUUGAAAUCAAAGAGAAAUGUGAAUGAAUUGAACUGCAGCUUUUAUAAUCAUGCAAGAUUAUACAACUACUGUACUACAUUAGUACUUUUUUUUUGCUCUGAAGAAAUGACGAUGAUUUAACUUGGGCGGGUAAAGUUAUUGGUUGUGUAUGUUGAGUAUAGCUUCUUUUCUUGCAAAUAUUCCGUACAUCUUACGGCACGGAUCGGCAACUUUGAUGGGGGUGUGUUCCAAGAAGAAGAGAAACACGAAACUCCUCUUUUUAGCGGUUCGUCUCCUGACAGCGAAGAAGAAAAAAAAUGAUGUUUUAAACUUAAUUUCCUGCAAUUCUACAUAUUUUGCCAUGGGGCGUAAAGAAAAUGUUGCCGUUUUAAAUUUGAUGAUCAGUGGGCCCCACCCCAGUUAGUAAUUUGACUAUGUUUACUACAAGUUUAGACAGCUGGCCACUAGACUAACUGACCAAUGUAAAAACAUUUAGCGGACCUGGGCUUAUUGAGUGACUGCUGAUGCACAACAAAAACCGAAUGUCGAAAUUGCAGCUUAUGUAUUCUACUAUUCUAACUCUCCAACAUUUUCUUUUGUCGGUCAAAUUGGGCCCCUGGCCUUCAAAAGGGGGGAGGUCCCCGGGCCUUCAAAAGGGGGGGAGGUCCCCUGGCCUUCAAAAGGGGGAGGUCCCCUGGCCUUCAAAAGGGGGAGGUCCCCUGGCCUUCAAAAGGGGGGAGGUCCCCUGGCCUUCAAAAGGGGAGGUCCCCGGGCCUUCAAAAGGGGGGGAGGCCCGCGGGUCUUCAAAAGGGGGGAGUUGCCCGCGGGUCAGCCAGUUGCCCAUCCCUUGUCUUACAGCAUUAUAAGAACUAUCUAACCAACUUGUCCUGCAAAUGGAUAUGCUGCAACAGAAACCUUACACCAUAUAUCAUAAUAGUUGCUCAGGCUGCUAAUAUAUGGCGAUAACGCUAGGUAGAUAAGUGUAUAUAUAUAAUAAUGUGUUUGUGGAAAGGUACAUUUAAAUUCUGAAAAUGUGUUAAUUUAUUAUUUCUAAUAUUAAAUGAAAAUUAAGACUUUAUUGUCUAGUUUUUGGUUAGGUGGUACAUUACUGCUAGGAUGUGAAUGGUUCAGAUUAAGAAUAAUUUUGAAAAUAUCGAAUCGGCUUUUAUACACUUGAUUUGUGUAUAUUUAGAAUUUCAUCAACUCAUGAUAAGGUGCCUCACCAAUGUAGCUGUGUACAGUACUUGGGGGUGGCAGGUAGCCUAGCGCUUAAGAAUGUUGUGCUAGUAACCGGAAGGUUGCUGGUUCAAAUACCCGAGCCGACUAGGUGGGGGAAAAAGUCUGUCGAUGUGCUAUGCAUUUAACCCUAAUUGCUCUGGAUACGAGCGUCUGCUAAAAUGUACUGUUUAUUCAAGUAAAACAUCUCAAACUUAAAAUUGUAGUGUUGGUCCAAAUUCUGAGAAAAAUAAAGAUUGUGAAACGCUAACUGAACACUCAAAUGUUACCACCUCAAAAGAAAGAAAGUUUAGUAGUGAUGAUAGAUAUGUCUUUCAAAUAAAUAUAUUGUACUUUUUUUUGAUGAUGACUGUUCAUUUUUUUUUAUGUUCAAAAGUUUGGGGGUCACAUAGAAAUGUCCUUGUUUUCCAUGAAAACAUACCUGAAAUGAGUUGCAAAACGAAUAGGAAAUAUAGUCA